rnacentral:tRNA from 1 species
GGAUUGUGGCUCAGUGGUAGAGUACUCACCUAGCAUGGGUGAGACAUUGGGUUCAAUCCUCAGCACCA